rnacentral:rRNA from 1 species
GAUGAACGCUGGCGGCGUGCUUAACACAUGCAAGUCGAACGAAGCUGUUAAAAGGAAGUCUUCGGAUGGAAUUUUAACAGACUUAGUGGCGGACGGGUGAGUAACGCGUGGAUAACCUGCCUUAUACAGGGGGAUAACGGAGAGAAAUUUCCGCUAAGACCGCAUAAGACCACAGCACCGCAUGGUGCAGGGGUAAAAUAUUAAUAGGUAUAAGAUGGAUCCGCGUCUGAUUAGCUUGUUGGUGAGGUAGAGGCUCACCAAGGCGACGAUCGGUAGCCGGCCUGAGAGGGUGAACGGCCACAUUGGGACUGAGACACGGCCCAAACUCCUACGGGAGGCAGCAGUGGGGAAUAUUGGACAAUGGGGGAAACCCUGAUCCAGCGACGCCGCGUGAGUGAAGAAGUAUUUCGGUAUGUAAAGCUCUAUCAGCAGGGAAGAAAAUGACGGACCUG